CCUUCUGAGAAGGCGGUGCGGCCGCAAGCUGCUAAGGUUCCGCUCUCGAACCCGUGCGUCCUUCCCGACGAGGUCCCUGCGCGGCCCGACCCAGUGCAUAGAAGUAACUAAAAAACAAAUAUUAUGUGUCUGAGCCCCAGCAAGAUUAUGUGACUUCAUAAAAAGAUAGUAUGGCUGGCUCCAUGGAAGAGCCAAGGGGUUGCUUGAAGAGGAUUUAUGCAUCCCACAGACACCUGACAGGCCUAUUCUAAGGGCCCUUGGACAGACUUACCCUGUUCACCCAUGCCUCAGAUGUCCUUCCUGCCUUGGGACAUAUACCUGUCUUCGUGACCCACCCUUUUUAUCAACAAGAUAACUACAAAUAAGGUAGAUUAUUGAAAUGCUGCACGGCAUAGCCUCUGCCAAAAUGAAGAGUUCACUUUUAGAACUUUAUCCUAAGAAAAUCA